UACGAAGGGGGCUAGCGUUGCUCGGAAUCACUGGGCGUAAAGCGCACGUAGGCGGAUUGUUAAGUCAGGGGUGAAAUCCUGGAGCUCAACUCCAGAACUGCCUUUGAUACUGGCGAUCUCGAGUCCGGGAGAGGUGAGUGGAACUGCGAGUGUAGAGGUGAAAUUCGUAGAUAUCGGGAGGAACACCAGUGGCGAAGGCGGCGAUUUGGGAAGAUACUGACGCUGAGGUGCGAAAGCGUGGGGAGCGAUCCGG
rnacentral:rRNA from 1 species